GACGAACGCUGGCGGCGUGCCUAAUACAUGCAAGUAGAACGCUGAAGGAGGAGCUUGCUCUUCUGGAUGAGUUGCGAACGGGUGAGUAACGCGUAGGUAACCUGCCUGGUAGCGGGGGAUAACUAUUGGAAACGAUAGCUAAUACCGCAUAAGAGUAGAUGUUGCAUGACAUUUGCUUAAAAGGUGCAAUUGCAUCACUACCAGAUGGACCUGCGUUGUAUUAGCUAGUUGGUGGGGUAACGGCUCACCAAGGCGACGAUACAUAGCCGACCUGGGAGGGUGAUCGGCCAAACUGGGACUGAGACACGGCCCAGACUCCUACGGGAGGCAGCAGUAGGGAAUCUUCGGCAAUGGACGGAAGUCUGACCGAGCAACGCCGCGUGAGUGAAGAAGGGUUUCGGAUCGUAAAGCUCUGUUGUAAGAGAAGAACGAGUGUGAGAGUGGAAAGUUCACACUGUGACGGUAUCUUACCAGAAAGGGAUGGCUAACUACGUG
rnacentral:rRNA from 1 species